rnacentral:rRNA from 1 species
CGUGUAGGCGGUCAGGUAAGUGGGACGUGAAAUGCCUCGGCUCACCCGAGGAGCGGCGUCCCAUACUGCUUGGCUUGAGUACGGGAGAGGAUGUGGGAAUUCCUGGUGUAGCGGUGAAAUGCGUAGAUAUCAGGAGGAACACCGGUGGCGAAGGCGCACAUCUGGCCCGAUACUGACGCUGAGGCGCGAAAGCUAGGGGAGCAAACG